rnacentral:lncRNA from 1 species
AACAAUUUGCACACCUUGAGUGUAGGUAUGAUCAGUUAUUUAAAAGGCAAAAGUCAUUAUGGAUUUCCAGACUUGGAAUGGAAGAGCCAUUGAAACCUCCUACAGAUCUUAAUAUCUAAACUGGUACAUAUCAGUCUCCAUAACACACUGAAGCCAGAAACUUCUGAAGUCCUUCCUUAUUCUUAUUAUAAAGUGAAAAAGGUCUUUGCAGCCAAUGUGUGAGGAAACCACUGUGGGUUAUACCCAGGUAAGGGAGCCCCGGCUCUACAAUAUGUAUGAUAUAUAAUGUACGCAUUGUUUAGUCUCUUGAUUAUGGAUUUUGGGUAAGAAAGCAUACUGGUGAUAUUCUCAUCAUUUCUUGCAGGACACAUCCAGUUAACAUGGUUCAUCACAUGUGAGAAUAAGCUUGUUCACAGGUAUCUCCACUGUGAAGUUACUUUCCCCACUUCUUCUCACACUCCUCAGAAGCAAGUCAUCCCCAAGACAGUGAAUUAAGUGACCCUCAGCUCUCCAGGGAGGGAGUAGCCACACACAUGAUCUGGAGUUCUGUCUCAAGUGUUUAAAACUAGCUCAUCUGAAGAUCCUCAGGAGUCCUUUUCCACCCUUUCUUUUUAGUUAGAUGAUUUAUACAAUGCAAGAUGACCUGCUUUUCUUUGCUUAAGCUUUUCAGGUUAAAUGAGACAAUAAAAUAAAUGGGAGAUGGGUUCUUUGCCAUUAUAAAUUUGUGACUUGUCCAAGUCACAUGUGCCUUUUCUGACAAGCUAGGGAGAAUUAUGAAAGUAUAUACUGACUACUAUGUAUUUUAUCAACUCUAAAGGGAGACAUUUGGAUUGUGUUCAAUUCUAGAACAGCCUUCUUAUUAUGAUUUAUUUGAACAUCAGUUCUGUGAAUUUAAAUUACAGCUACAUUUCCCAAUGCAUGCUGAAGUGUAUGUAAAAGACUCUAUGCUAUAGCUUUAUUUUCUUUGUUUUCAUGGUACUUGAGAUCUAACCCAUGGCUCAUGCAUGCUAGACAAGCACCCUAAUAGUAAACUACAUCCUUAACUUUUUUUAUUUUGAGAUAAGGUCUUGCUAGCAUCAAACUUGUGACCCUCCUACUUCAGUCUCCCAUGUAACUGGGAAUAUAGUUGUGUUCCACCAAACAUGGCUUAUGGCAUUGUUUGUAGUGACCAAAUACCCAAACAUACAAAAAGAACAAAAUUAACCCCUAAUAAAGCAUAAGCAUCCAUUAAUAGAAAAUUAGUUAAAUAAAUCAUGGAACAUAGCUAGUAUUGGAUAUGAUGCUACUUUUUAAGUAUGAAUGACACAAUGAAAUAUUACUCAGCAUUAAAAGAGAAUAAAAUCAUGGCAUUUGCAGGCUAAUGAAUGGAGUGGUAGAAGAGAAUGCUCAGUGAAGUUAGCCAAUCCCCAAAAAACAAAUGAUGAAUGUUUUCUCUGAUAUAAGGUGACUGACUCAUAGUGGGGUAGGGAGGAAGAGCAUAGGAGGAA